rnacentral:RNase_P_RNA from 1 species
GGGUAAUGCCGCCCGCUGACAUGCAGUCCUGGAGAGGAAAGUCCGGACACCGCAGGGCACGAUGCCGCACGAGCUUCACGGCAAGUGCGGGCGUCACGUUUCAAGGCGUGGCGACGGAAAGUGUCACAGAAACUCAAACCGCCCGGUGAAACUUCGGUUUUGCCCGGGCAAGGGUGAAAAGGUGGGGUAAGAGCCCACCGCGCCGACAGCAAUGGAGGCGGCACGAAAAACCCCGUCGGGUGCAAGGCAAAAUAGGCAACUGGGCUGCCCGUCCGAUAGUUGCGGGUAUGCCGCACCCUGCGAAAGCGGGGCGUCGGCGCGAGCCGGCGAGAGAAAUGACGACUGAAGCGCCGAGAGGCGUGGAACAGAAUCCGGCUUACCGGCCCCAAAA